CUGACGACGGAGGCCGAAGCCGAUCCACGGAGAAAAAUCAAACUAGUUUGAAGCAACCAAAGUUUUGGUUGACGUUCAAAGUCUGAAUUUGGUUGUUCCAAGCAUUUGUUUCUUCCAAAGUAAAACAUGCUUAGAUACAAACCAUGACUACAAUUUCAAUCAAUCGCUGGCAUGUUUAAUUUUACCAAAUGUUAGGUUGAUGAAAAUAGCUCAUGGUUGACAAAUACAACUUAGGUUGGAUUAAACUAAUAAAGGCAACAAAACUGACCUAAAAAUUUAGUUGGGUGAAAUCCAAGCUAAGAAAAGAUUCGAAGCGAACUAAAAUAUUAGUUUGUUCACACCACCGUUAGCUGCGUCGCGUCGGUCGGAUUCUUUGCUGUUUCAUUGUUGUCAUCGAGUGAGUUAUCGUGUACAUGGGAGCAAGAUUGGAAGUUCGAUUGGCGAGCUGGUCGAGCGUUUGCGACCAUUUCAGGACAGCUGUAUCAUCCGGAGGCGCCUCAGAAAAAUCACCAGCGUACGGAUUAUGACAAGGAAGGCGCAUCCAAUUACCGAAUAGUGUUCCGCCCGGCUUUUGCGGCUCAGGCGCAAUUUGUGAAAUUCGACGCUUUUCUUGGGGCGGAGAUCAUGGUUUCGGGAAUCCACCUGAUCCGGACACUAAAUGGCUACCGCCGUCACCGUCAACAAUCUGCAACUCCGUUAUUCCAGCUCCUUGCUCGUUUCGGUCUCUAGGACCACCACAAUCCUAGCCCUGACGGAAGUAACAGAAGUGGAUUGAUUUGUGGUACCGUGACAUCACUUAAUUCCAUCCACUUUUUUCGGUUCAUAAUUCCAUUCACGCCAUUAGUUUUGCAUGGUGUGAAUAGAAUUAGGAACCAAAAAAUGUAAUUGGAAUUGAGUGAUGUCUCGGUACACGAAAUGUAAGCCAAAUAGGAUAAAUAAUAACGUUUCCCUAAGAAUAAACGAAAGAUUGGCACGAA